rnacentral:rRNA from 1 species
ACCCCACUGCUAUCGAGGUGAGACUAAGCCAUGCCAGUUGAACGCCUUUGGACUAUGGCAAAGGAGUAGCACACUGCUCAGUAACACGUAGCUAACCUACCCUUGGGACGGUGAUAACCCCGGGAAACUGGGGUCAAUAACUGAUAGGUAUGGAUUCCUGGAAUGGUUCUAUACUGAAAUGUUUGUAUACCCAUGUCGUGUGCAUAUACCCGAGGAUGGGGCUGCGGCCGAUCAGGCUGUUGGUGAGGUAACGGCUCACCAAACCUUUGACCGGUACGGGCCAUGAGAGUGGUAGCCCGGAGAUGGGCACUGAGACAAGGGCCCAGGCCCUACGGGGCGCAGCAGGUACGAAACCUCCACAAUUCACUAAAGUGAGAUGGGGUUACCUCGAGUGCCGCCUGAAAAAGGCGGCUUUUCCAUUGUGUAACAAGCUGUGGGAAUAAGGGGGGGGCAAGACUGGUGUCAGCCGCCGCGGUAACACCAGCCCCCCGAGUGGUGGGGAUGCUUAUUUGGCCUAAAGCGUCCGUAGCCGGCUCAGUAAAUCUCUCGUUAAAUCCAGCGUCCUAAGCGUUGGGCUGCGAGGGAGACUGUUGAGCUAGAGGGUGGGAGAGGUCAGCGGUAUUUCUGGGGUAGGGGCGAAAUCCAUUGAUCCCAGGAGGACCACCAGUGGCGAAGGCUGCUGACUAGAACACGCCUGACGGUGAGGGACGAAAGCUGGGGUAGCGAAUCGGAUUAGAUACCCGAGUAGUCCCAGCCGUAAACGAUGCAGGCUAGGUGUUGGGUUGGCCACGCGCCGACUCAGUGCCACAGGGAAGCCAUUAAGCCUGCCGCCUGGGGAGUACGGCCGCAAGGCUGAAACUUAAAGGAAUUGGCGGGGGAGCAC